CAGUAGCCACGGUAAUACGAAGGGGGCUAGCGUUGCUCGGAAUCACUGGGCGUAAAGGGUGCGUAGGCGGGUUUUUAAGUCAGAGGUGAAAUCCUGGAGCUCAACUCCAGAACUGCCUUUGAUACUGAAAGUCUUGAGUAUGGGAGAGGUGAGUGGAACUGCGAGUGUAGAGGUGAAAUUCGUAGAUAUUCGCAAGAACACCAGUGGCGAAGGCGGCUCACUGGCCCAUAACUGACGCUGAGGCACGAAAGCGUGGGGAGCAAACAGGAUUAGAGACCCCUGUAGUCCCUGUCUCUUAUAC
rnacentral:rRNA from 1 species